GGGCUCAUCGUCUAAUGGAUAGGACAAAAACCUUCUAAGUUUUUUGUGUAGGUUCAAAUCCUACUGAGCUCA
rnacentral:tRNA from 2 species